CCUACGGGAGGCAGCAGUGGGGAAUAUUGGACAAUGGGGGCAACCCUGAUCCAGCCAUGCCGCGUGUGUGAAGAAGGCCCUCGGGUUGUAAAGCACUUUCAGUGAGGAAGAACGCCUGGUGGUUAAUACCCAUCAGGAAAGACAUCACUCACAGAAGAAGCACCGGCUAACUCCGUGCCAGCAGCCGCGGUAAUACGGAGGGUGCGAGUGUUAAUCGGAAUUACUGGGCGUAAAGCGCGCGUAGGUGGCUUGAUAAGCCGGUUGUGAAAGCCCCGGGCUCAACCUGGGAACGGCAUCCGGAACUGUCAAGCUAGAGUGCAGGAGAGGAAGGUAGAAUUCCCGGUGUAGCGGUGAAAUGCGUAGAGAUCGGGAGGAAUACCAGUGGCGAAGGCGGCCUUCUGGACUGACACUGACACUGAGGUGCGAAAGCGUGGGUAGCAAACAGGAUUAGAUACCCUGGUAGUC
rnacentral:rRNA from 1 species